UGUGUGUGUGUGUGUGUGUGUGUGUGUGUGUGUGUGUUGUUCGUCUCUUUCUCUGCUGGUGUGUGUGUUCAUUUGAGUGUGACGGAGGUUUUUGUACGACGCUUUCACUAGAAUGAAACACUGUGGUGGACUUUCGGUGGAGGAACUAAACUGACGAUCAGAACCUCCGGGCCCUCCGUGUCUCCCUCCGUGUCUCUGCUGGUCUCUGGAGACUCCUCCGCUCUGCUCUGCCUGCUCAGCUCUUACUCUCCACAGGGGGCGACGGUGAGCUGGACGCUGGACGGGUCAGAGGUCACCGAGGGGGUUCAGACCAGCGCAGAGAGCGAGCGGGGCGGUCUCUACAGUCGCAGCAGCGUCCUGAGCCUCAGCAAAGCACGCUGGGAAGGCAGAGAGCUCUUGGUCUGCAGAGGAACACAUGCCGGAGCUGCUCACGAGGCCUCGUUCCUCAAGAGCUCCGAGUGCUGAUGUUUCUCCAGUGAAGACCAGCGUAUCUGAGCGGCACGUGAUUUACAGCUCAAUACUGAAGCAGUCUGUCAAUGUGCUGCCAUUGCUGUUCAUUCAAUAAAGCUUCAUCUGAACGC